rnacentral:rRNA from 1 species
UACGGAGGAUCCGAGCGUUAUCCGGAUUUAUUGGGUUUAAAGGGUGCGUAGGCGGGCCUGAAAGUCAGCUGUGAAAGUUAAUAGCUCAACUAUUAAAUUGCAGUUGAAACUGUGGGUCUUGAGUGUACAUGAGGUAAGCGGAAUUUGUGGUGUAGCGGUGAAAUGCAUAGAUAUCACAAAGAACUCCAAUUGCGAAGGCAGCUUACUGGGGUACAACUGACGCUGAGGCACGAAGGUGCGGGUAUCAAACAGG